GUGAAUCAUCAAAUUUUUGAACGCAAAUUGCACUUUCUGGUAUUCCGGAAAGUAUGCCUGUUUGAGGGUCAGUUAAAUAAAAAUCGGGGUUGUUGCUGCCGUGCGGUGUGACGCGGCGGGAUUGGGUCGUCUGAGCUUCGGUUAAGUGACUUAAAAUUGUUGCAGGAUUUUCGGACGGAUUUAAAUGGCUGACGUACGGUUGAGGU
rnacentral:misc_RNA from 1 species